rnacentral:rRNA from 1 species
GACGAACGCUGGCGGCGUGCCUAAUACAUGCAAGUCGCACGAAGCUGUUUUAACUGGUGCUUGCACCGACUUAAACAACUGAGUGGCGAACGGGUGAGUAACACGUGGGUAACCUGCCCCAAAGCGGGGGAUAACAUUUGGAAACAGAUGCUAAUCCCGCAUAACCACAGAAACCACAUCGUUCCUGUGUCAAAGAUGGUUUCGGCUAUCACUUUUGGAUGGACCCGCGGCGUAUUAGCUAGUUGUUAAGGUAAUGGCUUACCAAGGCAAUGAUACGUAGCCGAACAGAGGAGUUGAUGGGCCACAUUGGGAAUGAGAGGCGACCCAAAUUCCAACGGGAGGCAGUAGUAGGAAAUCUUCACAAUGGACGAAAGUCUGAUGGGGCAUCGCCGCAUGAGUAAGGAAGGUUUUCGGAUCGUAAAACUCUGUUGUCAGAGAAGAACGUGUGCGAGAGUAACUGCUCGUGCAGUGACGGUAUCUGGCCAGAAAGCCACGGCUAACUACGUGCCAGCCGACGCGGUAA